rnacentral:rRNA from 1 species
GACGAACGCUGGCGGCGUGCUUAACACAUGCAAGUCGAACGGAAAGGCCCUGCUUUUGUGGGGUGCUCGAGUGGCGAACGGGUGAGUAACACGUGAGUAACCUGCACUUGACUUUGGGAUAACUUCAGGAAACUGGGGCUAAUACCGGAUAGGAGCUCCUGCUGCAUGGUGGGGGUUGGAAGGUUUCGGCGGUUGGGGAUGGAAUCGCGGCUUAUCAGCUUGUUGGUGGGGUAGUGGCUUACCAAGGCUUUGACGGGUAGCCGGCCUGAGAGGGUGACCGGCCAAAUUGGGACUGGGAUGCGGCCCAGACUCGUACGGGAGGCAGCAGUGGGGAAUAUUGUACAAUGGGAGGAAGCCUGAUGCAGCAACGCCGCGUGCGGGAUGACGGCCUUCGGGUUGGAAUCCGCUUUCGCCUGUGACGAAGCGUGAGUGACGGUAAUGGGUAAAGAAGCACCGGCUAACUACGUG